rnacentral:rRNA from 1 species
CAGAGGGUGCAAGCGUUGCUCGGAAUCAUUGGGCGUAAAGGGUAGGUAGGUGGUCUCAUUUGUCUGGGGUGAAAGCCUUGAGCUUAACUCAAGAAGUGCCCCGGAAACGGUGAGACUGGAGUCCUAGAGAGGCUAGCGGAAUUCCCGGUGUAGCGGUGAAAUGCGUAGAGAUCGGGAGGAACACCAGAGGCGAAGGCGGCUAGCUGGAUAGGCACUGACACUCAACUACGAAAGCGUGGGGAGCAAACAGGAUUAGAUACCCUGGUAGUCCACGCCGUAAACGAUGGGUACUAGGUUUGGUGGGUCUUGACCCCCGCUGAACCGGCGCUAACGCACUAAGUACCCCGCCUGGGAAGUACGGUCGCAAGACUA